AAAUGGACAUUGACGACUGCAUGAGAUGAGCCCAGAUGGUUGUGUUAGGGAUUACAACUGUUUUUGGGUUAUUGUUUCAGAAAUGCCCAAAUUGAAUCCCACAAUCAAGAUCUUAACAGCGAUGGUUCACUAGGUGAUGCCAACGGUUUAACCAUCCUGCGUUUUACUUAUUCCUUCCGUUCUGAACGCACAGUUUGAAAAUGAAACUUGUGUGUUUGAUGGCACAUUAAAUGGUGGUAUAAUACAUUUGUUUGCUCUGUGUUAAUUCAUACUUUAAACCUCAAAGUCUGAGCCAUCUGAGAUAAAUCCCUUCUGCACAUUUACUGAGAAAUAACUGGUAUUCAGAAAUUGCCCUUUCAUUGUUUGAUGCUUUGUGUGUAACACACGAUUUUAAAUAUGGGAAAAUACUGUAUAUUUGCUCCAUUUGAAAUUCAAGGGGAACUCCUCCUUUCUGGAGGGAAGGUCCAUAUCUCCCAGAAUGCUCUAUGAGGCUCAGAAUGUAAAGAUAAUUGUUAGGGUUUGACCAAUGUGCAUUGCUAAUUAACUAAUGAACUGCAGGUGUGGGGAGUGAUGUCAUCACCUGGGGGAGGAGUGUUUUUGGCCUAGGAACCAGGAAGCAUGAGGCAAAGAGGGGAAAUUCUGUGCGAGACUUCUGUAACUGUCGUAUGGACUAAAUGCCUCUGUUUAAAUAGCAGGAGCUGCCGUAUGGACUAACCGCCUCAGUAAAUAGUAGGAGCUGCCAUACGGACUUACCACCUCAGUUUAAAUACCAGGAGCUGUUGUAAGGACUAACCGCCACAGUAAAUAGCAGGAGCUGGGCUGUUCUGACUGUUGGACAACAACUGUCAGUGACCCCCAUUUGAAAACUGGAAAGAGUCAGAAGAAAAGGCAAAGAACUCUAAAAGUAUAACCUAUAAUUAUUGAAGACCAAUUGCAAAGUUGCUAGGAAUUGGACAUUCUAUAAAACACUAAAAGUGCCCUCAAAGGUGCUCAGCCAGCAUUCAGGGACCUCAUACAGAGCAAAUAGCGGCUUCGGGGGAGCAUUUGAGAGCCCCCCAGAAAUUCACACACUAAGGAAGGAAGGAAACGCUGGUCGAGACCUGAACCGCAAAUCACUGAGAAUCCAAGAAACUGGGACGAUCGAGAGAGAGAGAGAUGUUUUGCCUGUUUUAAUCCACUUAAAUGUGAGUGUAACCAAUUGGUUUUUACUUUUAGAAAAAAUAAAGAAGUUUUUACACUA